UAGAUGAUGUGAAUUUGUUAACCGUCUUCAAAAUGAUCGAAGGAGAUCUGAUGAAGGAAUAUAAGAGUUUUAAGUUUACUGUUCAAGCUACGCCUAAAGGAGAGGGCAGUGUGGUGCGUUGGACCUUAGAAUAUGAGAAGAUCCAUGAGAAUAUACAAGAUCCUUACUCCUUGCUAGAGUUUAUUGUCCAAUUUAGUAAGGAUGUUUCUGCUCAUCUCGUGAAAUGUCCGAAGAAAUGAUCAUGAACAUAUUAUGCUUUAAUAUAAGAUUUGCAUAAUAAAUAAAUAAGUGCUCUAUAAUGAAGCACCAAUGACAAACAUAUUUGUGUGUGAACUUAUAUCUACAAUGUAUUAAAUCUUAAAACUAUGUUUGUGUUUUUUUUAAUGAUUACGCUUCCUUUAUUAACAUCUAUCUAAAUUUUUAAUGUCCGAUUGAUGUUGAUUCGACUUGAUUUAAAUCUACUUCUUUAAUUUUUUAUUAUAAAAAAUUAAAAAUUCAAAGCGAGCUCUAACAACUUAAAAUUUAAUAUAGAAUGAAAAAUACUCAUGAAAACUUAUCGACAUAAAUUAUGAUAUUUAUAUUCAGAAAUCUCUUCGCCGGUCGUUUUUUCUAUUUCAAACAAUGAUCAUUAAUAUUGAUCAAAUCUAAUUUUCCUAGAAUUUUCAAUCAAUUUUAAGUUUAUCAAGAUGUAUUGAAAAAUAAUUAAGUAUGAUACGUAAAAUUAAAAGACUAUCAUCUUAUCAAGGCACACUGAUAUAUAUCAUAAUUUAGAGGAUGUAGCCUUUGUUUAUAAAGAAUAAAAUUUUUAAAAAUAUUUAUUAUGAAAAAUAUUUUUUAAGAAUAAAAAUAAUUUUUAAGAAAAUUUUUAUUUAUUAUUUAUAUUAAUAUAAAAAAAUAAAAAUAUGCAGCAAUCGCACAGAUAUAUAUAUAUAUAUAUAUAUAUAUAUAAUAAAAGAAGAAAAUAUAAAUUCAUUUUUAUUAGAAUGAGAUAUAUAAUUAUUUAAGGCAUUGUAACAUUUUCCAUCCCAUAACACAAACCCUAAUUGAAAUCACUCACAAUAACCUCAUGUUCGGCCGCCGAACAUGGUGCGGUUGCGGAAGCUCCUUUGCCCCUCGAAGGUGGUCUGACCAGCCACCUAUAAAAGGCUCCCUAUCCGAAAAUAGGCGAGUUUUCUCUCUCCAUUUUCAGGUAUAGGUGAGGUUCUGCCCUUCCAUGGUUGAUUUUAUAUUUUCCUUCAAGAUUUUUUAUAAGUUUUUGCUUUGUUUUGAAGUUUUUAAGCUUAAAUCAAAUUUUUUAAGCUUGGAGACCUUCGGAGACCAUUUUCUCCUCAUCUCCGAGUUCGGAUCACAUCUACUCUCAAUCUUCAAGAGGUAAGUGUAGAUCCUCAUCUAUUCUUAUGUUUUAAGUAAGUUUUAAAAGGGGUUAAGGGUAUAUAAUGCAUGUUUUUUAGUAGGAUAUUAUGUUAGGGUUUAUGUUAGCUUUAUGCUUAAUGUGAUGUUUAUGUGUUGUUUGUUGGGGUUUAGACUAGUUUUAUACCCCUUAUGCAUGUUGAAAUGUGUAUGCAUAUUUUAGAAUAGUUGGAUGUAUGUUUUGGUGAGUUUUAGUGGCUUGGGCAUGGUGGCAGAAUCGGGUUCUGUCACCCAGGAAGACCCAAGUUCGGCCGCCGAAGCAAGGAUCGGCCUCCGAACCUGCUAGGGGAGGCAGCUUUGGCCGCCUAAACUCGCCCCCGAAAGAUGGACUUUUGGAUCUGUGGGGGCCCCCGAAGGUUAGUGACUUUCGGAUCUGUGAAGGCCUUCGGUCGCCGAACCUGCCCCCGAAAGUGCCUGACUUUCGGAUCUGUAGGGGUUUUCGGCCGCCGAACCUGCCGCCGAAAGUCCUCUGUCCAGCCUUACUUUGCUUAUUUUCUAUGCAUGUUUUAUGAUAUUUUAGGGGGUUUUUGGGGAGAUGUUUAGUGUCAUGUUAGAGUUGGUUCGGUCCCUCAUUUGAGUCCACCUGUAUAGGAUAGGACCCGAGGAACCAAGGAGGCCAGCAGUGAGUUAGCUGUUCCAGAGUCAGCUAGAGGUGAGUAGAACUGAACUAUGUUUUAAAGUAACUAAAUUUUUAAGCAUGUUCAUGCAUCAUGAAUGCUAUGUUAUGUAUUAGACUGUUUUGCAUUAGAAUUCACUAAUAUGAUGCAUUGCAUUUUUACUGUUGAUGUGGAUGGAUAUUGGAUGACUUACUAGCCCUCGAGAUGAUAUAAUAUGAUAUGAUACGAGAGUUCAGGUCGAGACCCAUUCUACGCCCCUGGCACGAUGUAAGAGAAAGUCCAGGUCGAAGCCCAUUCUAAGCCCUUGGCACAAUUGGACAUGUUAUGUUAUAUUUAAGAAGAAGUUCUGAAUAGCUCCGUCGAGAGCCAGGCAUUAUUUGGAUAUGUAUAGGGUUACUGGUGACAAGUCCAUCCGUGAUGUGAAUUGUUUGUGUUGUGGUGCAUUUCAUAAAAGCCUAUAUUUAUUAAAUUGUUUUAUUGUUCUGCUCAUUGGAUUUUAGUAGCUCACCCCUUUCCUCCUAACCCCCAGAUUUGCAGGUCAGAGAUAGCACAGGAGGUCGGCAAGGGUGAUGUUUAUGUUGAUGUAAUAGAUAGUAGUGGACAUGUAAUAUGUAAUGGUUAGAUUUGUGCUUUGCCCUAGUUUAUGUUUUUGUAAAAAAUAAAUUUUUAUCUUUAAAAAUAAUUUAAUAUUUUUAUCAGUAAAAUAAUUUUUAUUAAUCAUUUCUUUUGAAUAUUCUAAACAUAAAAAAAUUGAAAGAUAUUUUAGCCGCGUAAUUUCCUCUGUGAAAUUCAUUCAAGCUAGAAGUAGCAGCACUUUUAGAUUAUCGUAUAUAUUCACAUUUUCAUUUAUUAAUUAUAUAUAUAUAUAUAUAAAUUAAAUAUGGGAUUUACUAUAAUUUAAAAUAAUAUAUUAUUUAUUUAUGUGUCAGAUUUAUAUAUUAAAAUUUCCAUGACACCCUCUUCGAGUAGCUAGAAAUCUUGAGAUUAUAGGAAGAAAAUUGUUUUUAUUUUCUUGCCUCUUGUGUAGUAAGUUACAGAGUUUAUAUAGUACAUAAUAUGAACAAUUAGACCUUUGAUUGUGCCCUCAAUUAUGUCCUAGAAUCAUGCUAUGCUAAACAUGGUAAGAUAUGAUCACUGAUUGAUUUACAAUCAUGACAGAGGAUUCUUUCCAACACACUGAUUGAUUUCCAAUCAUGGCAGAGGAUUCUUUCCAACACUCCCCCUCAAGUUGGUUCAUGUGGAUCUAGCAUACCCAACUUGCCCAAAACCUCAUGGAAUAUUCGUCCAGCUACUGCUUUGGUUAGAAUGUUCGCCCAUUGAUCCUCUGAUCGAACAAACGGUAAAGAUAUCAGACCACUGUCCAACUUUUCUUUAAUGAAAUGUCGGUCUAUUUCAAAAUGUUUUGUUCAAUCAUGCUGAACUGGAUUUUCAGAAAUGCUUAUUGCCGCCUUGUUGUCACAACGAAGUUCAGCUGCAUCCUUUGAUGGGAAUCCAAGCUAAAACAUCAACUUUCUGAUCCAUAGGAGUUCUGCCAGUCCUUUUGCUAUUCCCCUGAAUUCUGCUUCAGCACUUGACAAUGCCACCACCUUUUGUUUCUUACUUUUCCACGUUACCAAAUUUCCUCCAACAAAGGUGAAGUAUCCUGAGGUAGAUCGUCUGUCGGAGAGAUCUCCUGCCCAACUUGCGUCCGUAUAUCCACUGAUACUGAAAUGACCAUUCUUUUUGAACAGCAUGCCCAUCCCAGUUGUUCCUUUCAGAUAUCGAACGAUUCUCAAUGCUGCCUCCAUAUGGUCUUGUUUUGGAUCAUGCAUGAACUGACUUACCAAACUCACAGCAUAUGCCACGUCUGGUCUGGUGUGUGAUAAAUAAAUCAGUUUUCCUACCAGUCUCUAGUACCUCCCCCUGUCUGUGGGUCCUUCUUUUGAGUCCUUACUCAACUCGUGAUUGACCAUUACCGGAGUAUCGACUGGUUUGCAAUCUAUCAUUCCUGUUUCAGUUAACAGAUCAAGAAUGUACUUUCUCUGUGAUAUCAAAAUUCCCUGGUCUGACCUGAGAACUUCGAUUCCAAGAAAAUAUUUUAACAUCCCCAGGUCUUUCAUCUCAAAUUCUUGGAAUAAGUUGUCUCUCAGUUGUUUCAUUUCGUCUACAUCGUCUCCAUUUAUAAUCAUGUCAUCCAUGUAUAUAAUCAAACACGUGACCUUCCUUCCUUGCCUCUUCAAGAAUAGAGUGUGAUCGGAGUUACUCUGCCGAUAUCCAUUUUUCUUCAUUGCUUGAGUAAAUCUCCCAAACCAUGCUCUGGGUGACUGUUUCAACCCAUACAAGGCUCGCCUCAAUCGACACACUUCUCCCCUUCUAUAUCCACUCAUGAACCCUGGUGGGGCAUCCAUGUAUACUUCCUCUUCUAGAUCACCAUGCAAGAAAGCAUUUUUCACAUCAAAUUGGUGAAGUGGCCAGUCUAGGUUUGCAGCUAGAGAGAAUAGGACCCGUAUUGUAUCAAUUUUUGCUACUGGAGAGAAUGUUUCAGAAUAGUCAACUCCAUAAGUUUGAGUAUAUCCUUUUGCUACAAGUUUAGCUUUAUAUCUGUCCACCGUUCCGUUUGACUUAUACUUUAUGGUAAACACCCAUUUGCAUCCCACUGGUCGUUUUCCCUUGGGUAGCCAGCAUUUUUCCCAGGUCUUGUUUUUCUCCAAGGCAUCCAUCUCAGUCUCCAUCGCCUCAACCCAUCUUUUGUCCUUCUGGGCCUCUGUGGCAUCCUUUGGUAUCCAUUCUGAGCAAAUGUUUUUCUGUAGGUUGACCAACUGAGGUGAUAGUCUUUCUCCUCUGGUAACAUUUGCCACAGGGUAUCUCGAAUUUUGGAUCAUAUCUCCUGGGUGGAAUUCCUCUAUUAUUCCGAGGGGGUAGAACAUAUUGGCCUGUUUCAGGAACCUCAAGGGAAAUGGGUUCAGUGGUGAGGUUAUUAGGAACAGGGGAAAGUUCAGAUUCACAUACCUCAGUUGUGUGUUCCUCAGGAUAUUCUACGGUGUCAGGUUCUGGUUGUGACGUUGAGGCCGAGGACUGUACUAGAUGGUCAGUGUCUCCCAGUUCUGGUGUAGACUCAGGAAGGGAAGAGUGAUCAAGUUCUGGCCCCUCCUGACUAAGCCAAUUUGGCAGUGGUGGUGAUUGUGCAGCUGUCUCCCCCUCACUUCUAGUUGGCGAGGGAAAAAAAUAUUCCUCUUCCAGAAAGGUGCAGUCCAUGGUGGUGAAGAUCCGUUUAGAGAUUGGGUCAAAACACUGAUAGCCCUUUUUAUGGACACCAUAACCAAAGAAAACACAUUUAAGAGCACAUGGAUCAAGUUUAGUGCGAUGUGUUUUAGGAAUGUGAACAUAAACUGUGCAGCCAAAAAUUUUAGGUGGAAGGUUGAGAUGGGAAGGGAUGGUGUGAUGAGAGGACAAGGUAUGCAAGGGAGAUUGAAAAUUAAGGGCGCGAGACGGAAGUCGAUUGAUGAGGUAAAUAGACGUGGCAACUGCUUCAGACCAAAACUUAAGAGGAACUUGGGCUUCAAACAAUAAGGCUCGGGCAGUCUCAAGGAUAUGUCGAUUUUUCCUUUCAGCAACUCCAUUUUGCUGUGGUGUAUAAGGGCAAGUAGUUUGGUGAAGGAUCCCAUUAUCCCGGAAAAAGGUUUAGAGAUGGUUAUUGACAAAUUCCCUCCCAUUAUCAGAUCGGAGGACUUGAAUGGUCCUGUGAAAUUGGGUUUUAAUCAUGCGAAAAAAAUCACAGAAUUUCUCAGCCACUUCGUAUUUUUGUUUUAACAGGUAAAUCCAAGUAACAAGAGUGCAGUCAUCAAUAAAAGUCAAAAAGUAUCUAUAAUCAGGAGAGACAGUUUCCGGGGCAGGCCCCCAUACAUCAGAGUGUAUUAUUGAGAAGGGAGUAUCAGAUUUAUUUGUGGAUAUAUGAUAAGUACUCUUAUGACUCUUAGCAAGCACGCAUGAAGUACAAACUGGAAUGUCAAUGGAUCUAAACUCAAGAAACAAAGUACGAAGAUAAUCACUUGAGGGAUGGCCAAAGCGCCGGUGCCAGAGCCAUAACUGUCGAGUUGGGGACCCUUGAGCUAAAUGAGCUGACCCAGUACUUGAGACCUCCUCCACAUAGUACAGUCCAUCUUUCUCAGUACCACGGCCCAGUACCGUGCCCGUAUGAAUAUCCUGCAAAACACAAAAAUGAGGAUACAUGAGUACUUUGCAAUUUAACUGUUUGGUGAUCUGACUGACAGAGAGUAAUUUGCAAGAUAAGAAAGGUACAUAGAGGCUGUUGGAGACAUUUAAAGUGGGGGUUAUAGAAACGGUACCACCACCGAUGACUGGGAAGGAGCCACCGGUAGCGUUUAGAAUAUUGGAUUUUGAGGGUGGGGCUGACACAACAAAAUCUGAAGAAUCAUUAGUCAUAGUGUCUGUGGCUCCUGAAUCAAAUAUCCACCCACUAGCAUUUUGUACCUUGUGAGCAUGACCGAUAGAAUUAAGGGCUAGCGAUUCAGUUUUGAGAUUACAAACAGACUUAUCUAAAACAUCCGGGACCAGGGAUUUAAUUUUACAAGAAUUAAAACAAGCAGGGGCACAUUUAGAUUUAUUUAAAGAGACAGGGAUAGAAAGGUCAUUGUCCCUCCUUUCUAACCCUAAAAUACCUCCUUCCCGAUCAUAAGGGACACCCGUGCCUCCUCCUUUCUCGGCUCCUUGUAGCGCCGCUGCAACCCCUGAGCUCUGUCCGUUGCCCGAGUUUCCUCCGUUUGUCUGAUCAGGUUGUUGCCGCAGGCAGCCUUUUGGGUGCCGCUGGUAGUGACUGCGGCCGUAUUCCCUGCGCCUUGUCCCUUUCCUUUCUUCUUACGGAUCUUGUUUUCCUCCCACCACUCUGGAUACCCUAUGAUCUUAAAGCAUCCAUCCCGGGUAUGUCGAGAUCCGCCGCAAUGGGUGCAUUUUAAGCCUGAUUUAUCAUCCUGGAGUGAUGACUUGUCUGUGUCUGACCGGUUUUUAGCCAAUAGACCGGCCCCCAAGAGGUCGAAACCUGUUGUCGCUGGUGAUGGAAGAGGAAGGUGGAUGGCACGGCGCAACUUCUCACCUCGGAGCCGAGAGUAGGCAUUGUCCAAGGUCGGCAAUGGCUCCUCGUUGAGAAUUUCUCGACGAACUGGAUCGAGGUCGGACUGCACUCCGGCCAAAAAUAGGUACAGACGUUCCUCCUGGAUUUCCCGAUUUUGGAUAAUGAUAUUGUUGUCUCCUUCGAUUCUGGUCGGUUGUCUUUCAUCGAUCUCGGCCCAGAUGGCCUAAAGAUCGUUGUAUAAAUCUUUCAGAUUGCUUCCUUGUUGGGUUAAUUUGUAUGCUUUAGACUAUAACUCGUAAAUGAUAAGUUUGUUGCUACCUGUAUUGAAUCUGAUCUUGAGGGCAUCCCAUAGUCCUUUGCUUGUCUUGUGCUGCAAUAAAUUUGGACGGAGCUUCUGCUCUACCGUCUGGAUUAACCAUCCUCGGACAAUGCUGUCAUUAGUUUGCCACAGGUAAAUUGCGGGGUCUGUUUCUAUCGGAGGGGAGGGAGUCCCAGUCAGAUGGUUUGAUUUCCUCGCCCUGUGAUAAACAUCUCCAUCAUCUUUGCCCAGACAACAUAAUUGGAAUCAUUCAAUUUUAUGUCGGACGGUGGCUGUGCUGAAUCAAGAGUGAAUUGAUUUGCUGAUUUCUGAUUUCCAUUUUGGCUAUUCUGAAUUAACUGAAAUAGUUUUUGUGACAGGUCUGCUAUUGGAUCAAUUAUUGCCUGGGAUUGGUCAGCCGGGCUGGGGAGGUCGGCCAUUGUUGUUUCGGUGAGAGAAAGAAUUUGAGAAAGGUAUCUGGUAGGCAGGUUUAGUAAGAGAAGGUCGGGAGAGGUAUUGCAGGACGGCUAUAAUUUUAGGCCGAAACCUGCUCUGAUACCAUCUUGAGAUUAUAGGAAGAAAACUAUUUUUAUUUUUUUGCCUCUUGUGUAGUAAGUUGCAGAGUUUAUAUAGUACAUAAUAUGAACAAUUAGACCUUUGAUUGUGUCCUCAAUUAUGUCCUAGAAUCAUGCUAUGCUAAACAUGGUAAGAUAUGAUCACUGAUUGAUUUACAAUCUUGACAGAGGAUUAUUUCCAACAAGAAAUACCUAAUCUUAUAUAAAAAAUAAAUAUUUUACUUAAACUUUAAUAAAAAUAUUUUAUUUAAUUAUUAAGACUAACUCGCUUUUAUAUAUGAAUUUAAAUAAUUUAAAUUAAAUUUUAACUAAAUUUUAAAAUAAAUUUAACACAAAAAAGAGCCCAUUCACAAUUUAUCUUAUUACUUUUAUUUGUAGUAAUUGUUUUAUCUCACAAAUAAUUUUAACUAAAGUGAGUGAUAAACAUAUUUAGAGUGUGCAGUAUUUAGUUCAAACUGAAAAAAUUGAUCAAAUUUAAUUAAUUUAAAAAUUCAGUUUGAUUUUUUAUUCAGUUUGGUUCAAUUUAAUUUUUAAUUUCAAAAAUUUUGAUUAUUUUAAUUUGGUACAAUUUUAUCAGAAAAAAAUGAAAAAAAUCAAAUUGAACCGAUUAGUGAUAAUAGUAUAUUAUUUUCAAUAAUAUAAAGAUUAAAUUAUAUUAAUGUUAAAAUAUUCUAAUUAAAUUUUAAAAUAUUAAAAAUAAAGUGUAAAAUAUAAAAAAUUUAUUAAAGGUUCAAACCGAUCAAAUGAAAUUGAAUCAAAUCGAAUCAUAUUGGUUCAUUUCUAUUUGAUUUUUUAUUAAAACCAAGUCGAUUUUUAUAAAUAUCAAAAUUUUAAAUUUUAUAUUAUUCAAUUCCAUUUGAUUUUAAAUCAAAUCGAUCAAAUGCUCACUCCGAAUAUAUCGUGUGAAAAAGAUUGCUUAAAUGUUAGAUUUAUUAUUACUUGAGUUUCAAUUGGAUUUUUUAAAUUAUUUUAUUUAGUUAAAGAACUCUAUUUAAUUACCAAUAAAAUAUAUGGAAGGAUUUGAGAUUUAGGUAAAGAAAUAUUAUAAUUCAAGAAUUAAACUAUUUGAUUUAUAAAUAAAAAAAUAUUUUUAUUAAUUAAUUUAAGGACUGAAAAGUUACUUUAUUUAAACCAUACAAUAAAUAUUUGCCCAACUUUACAUAAUCUUAUCACAAANNNNNNNNNNNNNNNNNNNNNNNNNNNNNNNNNNNNNNNNNNNNNNNNNNNNNNNNNNNNNNNNNNNNNNNNNNNNNNNNNNNNNNNNNNNNNNNNNNNNNNNNNNNNNNNNNNNNNNNNNNNNNNNNNNNNNNNNNNNNNNNNNNNNNNNNNNNNNNNNNNNNNNNNNNNNNNNNNNNNNNNNNNNNNNNNNNNNNNNNNNNNNNNNNNNNNNNNNNNNNNNNNNNNNNNNNNNNNNNNNNNNNNNNNNNNNNNNNNNNNNNNNNNNNNNNNNNNNNNNNNNNNNNNNNNNNNNNNNNNNNNNNNNNNNNNNNNNNNNNNNNNNNNNNNNNNNNNNNNNNNNNNNNNNNNNNNNNNNNNNNNNNNNNNNNNNNNNNNNNNNNNNNNNNNNNNNNNNNNNNNNNNNNNNNNNNNNNNNNNNNNNNNNNNNNNNNNNNNNNNNNNNNNNNNNNNNNNNNNNNNNNNNNNNNNNNNNNCCCUCUAUAUAUUUAAUUAUUUUUAUGAUUUAAUUAUUCAUAUAUUAAAUUUAUUUUGAAUAUAUUUUUAUUUAUAUUUUUAUUGAAAUAUUGAAAUAUUUAUAAUUUCAAAUUAGUUUAUAAGUAUUUAUAUUAUCAUUUUAAUUUAUUUUCUAUUAUUUAACUAUUUAAAUUAUUAAACUUACCUAAAUUAUUAUCAUUCUCUUUUUUAAAUAAUUUUAAAAUUAAUUUUUCAUUGCAAAUGAAAUUUAAUUUAUUAUUUAAUGAAAUGUGAACUAUAUUACAUCUUAUUUUUCCUCAAUCUUCUUGCCUUUUCCUUAACCAAUAUUUUAGGAUACAUUACCUUAAUAAUAAUAAUAAUAAUAAUAAUUUUAAUGAAAGAAAAUUAUUUAAGGCAUUUGCAAUAUUUUUCAUCCCAUAAUACACAUUCUAAUUGAAAUCACUCAAAAUAGUCACAGCUUAAUAAUUGAGUAGGAAAAUAUCUCAAAUGACAAUUAAGCUCAUGCCACUUCUAUAUAUAUAGAAAGCAAUGCCAAAGGACUUCAUGCAUCAUUAGAUUCAUCAGUGAUCAUAAGCAUCACCAGAAACUCACUCUGUAUCUUUCUUUUUUCAAAAACUAAAAAUGACACUAUGGGGCAAAUUAGAGAUACAUUUUUGGAUCGAUGCUCCUGCAGAUCAGUUUCAUGAUGUCUUCAGUUCCCGACCAUACCUUAUACCCAAUAUGUCCCCUCACAAAAUUCUUAGUGUUGAUCUUCUUGAAGGUGAAUGGGGUAAGGAAGGCGCUAUUAUUUGCUGGAAAUAUUUCUAUGGUAAGCGUUUAAUCUUUUUCAAUUGUAAUUUUCUUUUUUAAAAAGAAAAAUUAUUAAUCAAGUAUAAAAAUGAAAAACAGGUGGGUCUGUUCAAGUGGCUAAGCAAGUAAUUGAAACCAUAGAUAAUGUGAAUUUGUUAACCGUCUACAAAGUGAUCGAAGGAGAUGUGUUGAAGGAAUAUAAGAGUUUCAAGUUGACCGUUCAAGCUACACCUAAAGGAGAGGGCAGUGUGGUUCGUUGGACCUUAGAAUAUGAAAAGAUCCAUGAGAAUAUACAAGAUCCUUACUCCUUGCUAGAGUUUAUUGUCCAAUUUAGUAAGGAUGUUUCUGCUCAUCUCGUGAAAUGUCCGAAGAAAUGAUCACGAACACGUUAUGCUUUAAUAUGUGAUUUGCAUAAUAAUUAAAUAAGUGCUCUAUAAUGAAGCACCAAUGACAAACAUAUUUGUGUAUGAACUUAUAUCUACAAUGUAUUACAUCUUAAAACUAUGUUUGUGUUUUUUUUAAUGAUUAUGCUUCCUUUAUUAAUAUCUAUCUAAAUUUUUAAUGUCCGAUUGAUGUUGAUUCGUCUUGAUUUAAAUCUAUUUUUUUAAUUUUUUAUUAUAAAAAAUUAAAAAUUCAAAGCGAACUCUAACAACUUAAAAUUUAACAUAGAAUGAAAAAUACUCAUGAAAACUUAUCGACAUAAAUUAUGAUAUUCAUAUCCAGAAAUCUCUUCACCGGCUGUUUUCUCUGUUUCAAACAAUGAUUAGUAGCAUCAAAUCUAAUUUUCCUAGAAUUUUCAAUCAAUUUUAAGUUUAUCAAGAUGUAUUGAAAAAUAAUUAAGUACGAUACGUAAAAUUAGAAGACUAUGAUCUUAUGAAGGCACACUGAUAUAUAUCAUAAUUUAGAGAAUGUAGCCUUUGUUUGUUUAUAAAGAAUAAAAUUUUUAAAAAUAUUUAUUAUGAAAAAUAUUUUUUAAGAAUAAAAAUAAUUUUUAAGAAAAUUUUUAUUUAUUAUUUAUAUUAAUAUAAAAAAAAUAAAAAUAUGCAGCAAUCGCACAGAUAUAUAUAUAUAUAUAUAUAUAUAUAUAUAUAUAUAUAUUGUUUAAAAUAAAAGAAGAAAAUAUAAAUUUAUUUUUAUUAGAAUGAGAUAUAUAAUUAUUUAAGGCAUUGUAACAUUUUCCAUCCCAUAACACAAACCCUAAUUGAAAUCACUCACAAUAGUCAAUGCUUCAUAAUUGAGUAGGAAAGAUCUCUAAACAUAUAUAUAUAUAUAUAUGACAACUAAGCUCAUGCAACUUCUAUAUAAGGAAAGCAAUGCCAAAGCAGAAACUCUCUCUCCACGUCUCCUUUUUCUUGAAAAGCAAAAAUGACUAUUGGGCAAAUUGGAGGCAGAUGUUGAGAUCAAUGCUCCAGCAGAUCAUUUCACUAUGUAUUUAGUUGCAGACCACACAUGUAUUCAAUAUUAGUCCCAAUAAAAUUGAUGGUUGUGAUCUCCAUGAAGGUGAAUAGGUAAGGAAUGCACUGUCGUUUGCUGGAGUUAUUCUCAUGGUAAGCCUUAAAUCUUCAAUUGAAACUUUCUUUAGCUUUUAUUUUAAUUUUUUUGUAAUUUUUAAAAAUUAUUAAUUAAGUAUUAAAAUGAAAAAUAAAUAGAUCUCGUAAAGUAGCUAAAAAGAUAAUUGAAGCCAUAAAUGAUGUGAACUUGUCAACCACCUUCAAAGUGAUUGAAGGAGAUCUAUUGAAGGAGUACAAAAGUUUCAAGUUGAUCAUUAAGCUACACCCAAGGGUGAGGGAAGUUUGAUGCAUUGGACUUUGAAAUAUGAAAAAAUCCCUGAGAAUAUACCAAAUCCUAAUACAUUAUUGGAACUACUUAUCCACUUAAGUAAAGAUAUUUCUGCUUAUCUCGUGGAAUGUCAAAAAGAAAUGAUCAUAGAUUAUGUUAUGUCAUAACACGUGAUAUUUCUUUUAAUAAUUAAAUAAGUGCUCUAUAAUGAAGCACAAGUGGCUGGGAUAUUUUGUUGCAGAAAAACUUGCCUAAAAUCUAUGUCAUGUGUUUGUGUUACUCUAUUAUUAUAUGUCUUUUAAUUUGAUAAAAUUAAAAAAUAGAGAUUAAAUCAUUUACUUUUUUUGAAAAAAAAUAAUUUAACAGCAUAAAGUAAGGAUUAAACUGUUAAUUUUAAAAUUUUAUGCGGUUAUAUAUUAAUUUUGACCUAAUUAUUUUAUAACAAGUAUUUGCAAUGGUCUCAUCCGUAGGAAAUUUGUAAUUAAUAUAUUUUAUUUAUUUUUAUAUAUUUAUUGUGUGUUGAGUAUAUUAUAAAAGGGUCCAACAUGCAAGUAAUAAUUCAAAAUUUGAAAAAUGUGAUCUAUUAUUUUGUCCCAAUUUGCAUGCAUAGAAGAUUUACUCCAAACGGAAAUAAGAUAAUUUGCAUGCAUAGAAGAUUUACUCCAAACGGAAAUAAGAUUUUUUUCCAUGGAAUUUUUUUUUUUUUUACAUUCCAGAGAAAAAAAUUACAAUUAAACAAUUAGGCGUUUCAGAGAAUAGGCCUAUUAAUCUGAAGGCAAUAUUUCUCAAAAACACAAAUUUGCAACAAUCUCAGUAAAAGUGUUUGCGAACAUAGUGGUGUUACAUAACAUUAGUCCAAAAAAAGUUAUGAGUUGUCACUAUAGAAUAGGAAUCACGUGAUAAAAUUUAACAAGCAAAAAACGUUGUCUCACUAUAAGAGGAAACCCGGAUACUUUAACACGCAGACUAUCGUCAAUACUCGCCCUCCCAGGAUAGGCCGAGUCUUGACAGAGUUAAUGUUAUUAGGCACAUUUCUACUUUGUCAGAGAUCGUGGGAUUACUAAUCUAAUUAGCUGACGUUGUUCAUUAUUGAGCAGUCGGCCACAUUAUUGCUGAAUUUUCAAAAAACACUAUAUUUAUCUUCAUCCCUUACAGUAUAAAAUGAGAACGAUUUCAGAGAAAAUGUAUGCUAUUUCUAAUACUAUUCAAACUCUAAAUAAUCCUUCGCAUUCUCUAUGUUCUUCUAAACACUGAUUUCAGCAUCACAUAGACUGUCGUGGGCACCCACCACCACCUCACGUUUUCUCUUUUGUAGGUUCUAGCCAAUUACAGCUCAAUUCCAUUUCGACUACGUCAUCAAUCCAAUCUUAGCAACAUCAUUUGGUUCCAUUGUCGAGAAAGAUCCAUUAAACUCACUCCUGGAUCAGGCCCAGUUUCCUAUCGUCUUUCCUCACUCGAAAUGGCCGAAAACCCUACAGUUGCUGACAAUACCAUUACCAAUGAGGGGGUCAUCAUUUCCUCUAUCCCAAAUAACCGAGAGAACAUGCAUCCAGUGAUCAAUGAAGCAGACCUUAAUAAUUUGAAUAAUGAGCAGAUAAUCCAGUAUAUCUAAAGGUUGCAGGCCACUCUCGGGCAGUAUAAGACCUAAGAAGAGGCGUCUAAGAUGGACUCUAAAAGAAGAGAUGAGACUUCCGUAAACACCCCCAAAGCCAAGACGGAAGCACCUAAAAUGCGGCAUAAAGGUAUAACGACCCAAAAAUCGGACCGCUACCGGCGCUAGGAUCUUAAGGUCACCGGAACCCGUAGCAAGCCUAACAUACAUCCUGUAUACCUGCUAAAAUCCCAUACAUAAUCAUACAUUUUCAUAAAAACUUUAAAUUUUUCAUAUACCAAGCUUGACAUGUGCAUGCAUCAUAACUGUAUACAUAAAAUCCCUUACUGGAGCCCUCAUCAAAUGCUCUAGUUGGGUCAAUAUCUCAUACAUCAAGCUUGGUUCAACAUAUAUCAUCAUUAAAAAUAUUUCAUAAAGAUCAUGUACCAAAAGGGAUUAACCAUACAUUAGGGCCAAGCACAAUACUAAUCCGCAUUACAUUACUGAAUAAUACCUUACAUUACAUUACAUGUCAUUUCAUGUCCACUACUAAUCUAUUACAUGACAUAGCCAUUACCCUUGCUGACUUCAUGCUAUCUCUGACCCUGCAAACCUGGGGGUUAGGGGAAAAGGGUGAGCUACAAAAGCCCAGUGAGUAGAACAGUAAAACACAAUUUAAUAAAACACAUGCUUUUAUGAAAUGCGUCACAACACAAACAAUUCACAACAAGGAUGGACUUGUCACCAAUAACCCUCUACAUAAUCCAAUGUGCCCGACCCUCGACGGGGCUCCCCAGGACUUCCUCUUAAACAUAAUAUAAUGCUAGGACGCAUGGCAUGGGCAGCCCUGGACUUUCUUACAUACCAUAUCAUAUCAUAUUGAGGGCUAGUGGGUCAUCCAAUAUCCAUCCACAACAACAACAAAUUAUGCAAUGCAUCAUAUUCGUGAAUUCUAAUGCCAUAUAAACAUGGUAUCCAUGAUGCAUGAGCAUGCUUAAAAGUUUGAUUGCUUAAAAAAAGAAAGAGUUAUGUUCUACUCACCUCUGGCUAACUCUGGAACAGCUAACUCACUGUUGAUCACCUCGGUUCCUCAAGUCCGAUCCUACACAGGUGGACUCAAAUGAGGGACCAAACAUACUCUAACAUGACUCUAAACAUCUCCCCAAAAACCCCCCAAAACAUCAUAAAACAUGCACACAAAACAAGCAAAGGAAGGCUAGGCAGGAGACUUUCGGCGGCAGCUUCGGCGGCCGAAAGCCUUCACAGACUCGAAAGUCACCCACCUUCGGGGGCAGGUUUGGUGGCCGAAACUCCCCUCCAGAGUCGAAAGUCUAACUUUCAGGGGCGAGUUUAGGCGGUCAAAACUGCCUCCUCUAGCAGGUUCGGCGGCCGAACUUGGGUUCUCCAGGACGACAGAACCCGAUUUCGCCUCAUGUAUUCAGCCAUCCAAACCUAACCAACACCCAUCCAACUAUUCUAAAGCAUGCAUAAAUACAUAUUCGAGCUUAUAGGGGCUUAAAACUAGCCUAUACCCCCAACAAACAUCAACAUAGCAUCACAUUUAACAUUAAACUAACAUAAACCCUAACAUUUAGAUCUACUCUAAACAUGCUUUAAACACCCUUAAAACCUCCUAAAACUUACUUAAAACAUAAAAAGGUAUAGAUCUACACUUACCUCUUGAAGAUCGAGAGGAGAGGUGAUCCAAACUUGGAGAUUGGGAGAAAUCGAGUUCUGGGGGUCUCCAAGCUUCAAAACUUUGAUCUUAGCUUAAAAUCUUCAAAACAAAGGUAAAAACACAUCAAGACUUAAAGGAAAUGAAGGAAAACACAAAAUCAACCAAAGGAGGGCGAAAUCUCACCUAUGCCCGAAAAUAAAGAGAGAAAACUUGUCCAUUUUCGGAUAAUGGGCCUUUUAUAGGUGGCUGGCCAAACCACCUUCAGGGGCCAAAGGUGCUUCCACAAGAGCCCAAUGUUCGGCGGUCGAACCUGGCUUUUCCCUCCUUGGUCUUUUCUUUCAAAACUCAAUUUCUUUCUUCAUUAAAACCAUAAAAAUAUAUAAAAACAUUUUAGAAAACCUUUAUUUUACCCUUCUAGAAGGCUCCGACAUCCGAGAAUUUCGGAUUCCAACAGAGAUUCCGCUGGAAGGUAGGAAUUCCGAUGCCGGAGUCUAGCCGGGUAUUUUAAACUCACUCUUGGAUCAGGCCCAGUUUCCUAUCGUCUUUCCUCACUCGAAAUGGCCGAAAACCCUACAGUUGCUGACAAUACCAUUACCAAUGAGGGGGUCAUUAUUUCCUCUAUCCCAAAUAACCGAGAGAACAUGCAUCCAAUGAUCAAUAAAACAGACCUUAAUAAUUUGAAUAAUGAGCAAAUAAUCCAGUAUAUCUAAAGGUUGCAGGCCACUCUCGGGCAGUAUAAGACCCAAGAAGAGGCGUCUAAGAUGGACUCUGAAAGAAGAGAUGAGACUUUCGUAAACACCCCCCAAGCCAAGACAGAAGCACCUAAAAUGCGGCAUAAAGGUAAGUGUGAAUCUGAAGAUAAAUCAAAUGAGGUUUCAAAAGAAGUGAAUUGGAAGCUAGUACGAGCCAUACAAAGAUAUUAAAGAAAACAAGAAGAGGAUUAUAGUUUGGAUGGGGUCUCGCCUCUUUCGGAAAAAAUACUAGUGAAAACUUUUCCCGCUAAGUUUAAGUUGUCCUAUUUGGAUAAGUAUUACGGGACAGCAGACCCUUGAAGCCAUCUAGCCAUUUUCAGGAUGACCCUGGAGUUUCAAGAUUUAAAUAAUUGUGUUAUGCCGAAUGUUCCUGUCGACAUUCGCAGAUUUCUGAAACUUAUUAAUAAGUAUAAAAAUAAAAAAUUGAUGGAUCUCGCGAAGUGGCAAAAGAGGUGAUUGAAACUAUAGAUGAUGUGAACUUAUCAACCACUUAUGAAAUGAUCGACAGAGAUCUAAUGAAGGAGUACAAGAGUUUCAAAACUACCAUUCAAGCUACACCCAAAAGAAAUGGCAGUUUGGUGCAUUGGACCUUGUUAAUAUAAGAAGUUGAAAAAUAUCUCAAAUGACAAUUAAGCUCAUGCCACUUCUAUAUAUAUAGAAAGCAAUGCCAAAGGACUUCAUGCAUCAUUAGAUUCAUCAGUGAUCAUAAGCAUCACCAGAAACUCACUGUGUAUCUUUCUUUUUUCAAAAACUAAAAAUGACACAAUGGGGCAAAUUAGAGAUACAUUUUUGGAUCGAUGCUCCUGCAGAUCAGUUUCAUGAUGUCUUCAGUUCCCGACCAUACCUUAUACCCAAUAUGUCCCCUCACAAAAUUCUUGGUGUUGAUCUUCUUGAAGGUGAAUGGGGUAAGGAAGGCGCUAUUAUCUGCUGGAAAUAUUUCUAUGGUAAGCGUUUAAUCUUUUUCAAUUGUAAUUUUCUUUUUUAAAAAGAAAAAUUAUUAAUCAAGUAUAAAAAUGAAAAACAGGUGGGUCUGUUCAAGUGGCUAAGGAAGUAAUUGAAAUCAUAGAUAAUGUGAAUUUGUUAACCGUCUACAAAGUGAUCGAAGGAGAUGUGUUGAAGGAAUAUAAGAGUUUCAAGUUGACCGUUCAAGCUACACCUAAAGGAGAGAGCAGUGUGGUUCAUUGGACCUUAGAAUAUGAAAAGAUCCAUGAGAAUAUACGAGAUCCUUACUCCUUGCUAGAGUUUAUUGUCCAAUUUAGUAAGGAUGUUUCUGCUCAUCUCGUGAAAUGUCCGAAGAAAUAAUCAUGAACACGUUAUGCUUUAAUAUGUGAUUUGCAUAAUAAUUAAAUAAGUGCUCUAUAAUGAAGCACCAAUGACAAACAUAUUUGUGUAUGAACUUAUAUCUACAAUGUAUUACAUCUUAAAACUAUGUUUGUGUUUUUUUUAAUGAUUACGCUUCCUUUAUUAAUAUCUAUCUAAAUUUUUAAUGUCCGAUUGAUGUUGAUUCAUCUUGAUUUAAAUCUAUUUUUUAAAUUUUUUAUUAUAAAAAAUUAAAAAUUCAAAGCGAACUCUAACAACUUAAAAUUUAACAUAGAAUGAAAAAUACUCAUGAAAACUUAUCGACAUAAAUUAUGAUAUUCAUAUCUAGAAAUCUCUUCACCGGCUGUUUUCUCUGUUUCAAACAAUGAUUAGUAGCAUCAAAUCUAAUUUUCCUAGAAUUUUCAAUCAAUUUUAAGUUUAUCAAGAUGUAUUGAAAAAUAAUUAAGUACGAUACGUAAAAUUAGAAGACUAUGAUCUUAUGAAGGCACACUGAUAUAUAUCAUAAUUUAGAGGAUGUAGCCUUUGUUUGUUUAUAAAGAAUAAAAUUUUUAAAAAUAUUUGAUAUGAAAAAUAUUUUUUAAGAAUAAAAAUAAUUUUUAAGAAAUUUUUAUUUAUUAUUUAUAUUAAUAUAAAAAAAUAAAAAUAUGCAGCAAUCGCACAGAUAUAUAUAUAUAUAUUGUUUAAAAUAAAAGAAGAAAAUAUAAAUUUAUUUUUAUUAGAAUGAGAUAUAUAAUUAUUUAAGGCAUUAUAACAUUUUCCAUCCCAUAACACAAACCCUAAUUGAAAUCACUCACAAUAGUCAAUGCUUCAUAAUUGAGUAGGAAAGAUCUCUAAACAUAUAUAUAUAUAUAUAUAUAUGUAUAUAUAUUUAUAUAUGGCAACUAAGCUCAUGCAACUUCUAUAUAAGGAAAGCAAUGCCAAAGCAGAAACUCUCUCUCCACGUCUCCUUUUUCUUGAAAAGCAAAAAUGACUAUUGGGCAAAUUGGAGGCAGAUGUUGAGAUCAAUGCUCCAGCAGAUCAUUUCACGAUGUCUUUAGUUGCAGACCACACAUGUAUUCAAUAUUAGUCCCAAUAAAAUUGAUGGUUGUGAUCUCCAUGAAGGUGAAUGGGUAAGGAAUGCACCGUCGUUUGCUGGAGUUAUUUUCAUGAUAAGCCUUAAAUCUUCAAUUGAAACUUUCUUUAGCUUUUAUUUUAAUUUUUUUGUAAUUUUUAAAAAUUAUUAAUUAAGUAUUAAAAUGAAAAAUAAAUAGAUCUCGUAAAGUAGCUAAAGAGAUAAUUGAAGCCAUAAAUGAUGUGAACUUGUCAACCACCUUCAAAGUGAUUGAAGGAGAUCUAUUGAAGGAGUACAAAAGUUUCAAGUUGAUCAUUAAGCUACACCCAAGGGUGAGGGAAGUUUGAUGCAUUGGACUUUGAAAUAUGAAAAAAUCCAUGAGAAUAUACCAAAUCCUAAUACAUUAUUGGAACUACUUAUCCACUUAAGUAAAGAUAUUUCUGCUUAUCUCGUGGAAUGUCAAAAAGAAAUGAUCAUAGAUUAUGUUAUGUCAUAACGCGUGAUAUUUCUUUUAAUAAUUAAAUAAGUGCUCUAUAAUGAAGCACAAGUGGCUGGGACAUUUUGUUGCAGAAAAACUUGCCUAAAAUCUAUGUCAUGUGUUUGUGUUACUCUAUUAUUAUAUGUCUUUUAAUUUGAUAAAAUUAAAAAAUAGAGAUUAAAUCAUUUACUUUUAAAAAAAAAAUAAUUUAACAGCAUAAAGUAAGGAUUAAACUGUUAAUUUUAAAAUUUUAUGCGGUUAUAUAUUAAUUUUGACCUAAUUAUUUUAUAACAAGAAUUUGCAAUGGUCUCAUCCGUAGGAAAUUUGUAAUUAAUAUAUUUUAUUUAUUUUUAUAUAUUUAUUGUGUGUUGAGUAUAUUAUAAAAGGGUCCAACAUGCAAGUAAUAAUUCAAAAUUUGAAAAAUGUGAUCUAUUAUUUUGUCCCAAUUUGCAUGCAUAGAAGAUUUACUCCAAACGGAAAUAAGAUUUUUUUCCAUGGAAUUUUUUUUUUUUUUUUACAUUGCAGAGAAAAAAAUUACAAUUAAACAAUUAGGCGUUUCAGAGAAUAGGCCUAUUAAUCUGAAGGCAAUAUUUCUCAAAAACACAAAUUUGCAACAAUAUCAGUAAAAUUGUUUACGAACAUAGUGGUGUUACAUAACAUUAGUCCAAAAAAAGUUAUGAGUUGUCACAAUAGAAUAGGAAUCACGUGAUAAAAUUUAACAAGUAAAAAACAUUGUCUCACUACAGGAGGAAACCCGGAUACUUUAACACGCAGACUAUCGUCAAUACUCGCCCUCCUAGGAUAGGCCGAGUCUUGACAGAGUUACUGUUAUUAGGCACAUUUCUACUUUGUCAGAGAUCGUGGGAUUACUAAUCUAAUUAGCUGACGUUGUUCAUUAUUGAGCAGUCAGCCACAUUAUUGCCGAAUUUUCAGAAAACACUAUAUUUAUCUUCAUCCCUUACAGUAUAAAAUGAGAACGAUUUCAGAGAAAAUGUAUGCUAUUUCUAAUACUAUUCAAACUCUAAAUAAUCAUUCGCAUUCUCUUUGUUCUUCUAAACACUGAUUUCAGCAUCACAUAGACUGUCGUGGGCACCCACCACCACCUCACGUUUUCUCUCUUGUAGGUUCUGGCCAAUUACAGCUCAGUUCCAUUUCGACUACGUUAUCAAUCCAAUCUUAGCAACAUCAUUUGGUUCCAUUGUCGAGAAAGAUCCAUUAAACUCACUCCUGGAUUAGGCCCAAUUUCCUAUCGUCUUUCCUCACUCGAAAUGGCCGGAAACCCUACAGUUGCUGACAAUACCAUUACCAAUGAGGGGCUCAUCAUUUCCUCUAUCCCAAAUAACCGAGAGAACAUGCAUCCAGUGAUCAAUGAAGCGGACCUUAAUAAUUUGAAUAAUGAGCAGAUAAUCCAGUGUAUCUAAAGGUUGCAGGCCACUCUCGGGCAGUAUAAGACCUAAGAAGAGGCGUCUAAGAUGGACUCUGAAAGAAGAGAUGAGACUUCCGUAAACACCCCCAAAGCCAAGACGAAAGCACCUAAAAUGCGGCAUAAAGGUGUAACGAUCCGAAAACCGGACCGCUACCGGCGCUAGGAUCCAGAUCGACUUAAGGUCGCCGGAACCCGUAGCAAGCCUAACAUACAUCCUGUAUACCUGCUAAAAUCCCAUACAUGAUCAUACAUUUUCAUAAAAACUUUAAAUUUUUCAUAUACCAAGCUUAACCUGUGCAUGCAUCAUAACUGUAUACAUAAAACCCCUUACUGGAGCCCUCAUCAAAUGCUCCAGUUGGGUCAACAUCUCAUACAUCAAGCUUGGUUCAACAUAUAUCAUCAUUAAAAACAUUUCAUAAAGAUCAUAUACCAAAAGGGAUUAACCAUACAUUAGGGCCAAGCACAAUACUAAUCCGCAUUACAUUACUGAAUAAUACCUUACAUUACAUUACAUGUCAUUUCAUGUCCACUACUAAUCUAUUACAUGACAUAGCCAUUACCCUUGCUGACUUCCUGCUAUCUCUGACCCUGCAAACCUGGGGGUUAGGGGAAAAGGGUGAGCUACAAAAGCCCAGUGAGUAGAACAGUAAAACACAAUUUAAUAAAACACAUGCUUUCAUGAAAUGCGUCACAACUCAAACAAUUCACAACAAGGAUGGACUUGUCACCAAUAACCCUCUACAUAAUCCAAUGUGCCCGGCCCUCGACGGGGCUCCCUAGGACUUCCUCGUAAACAUAAUAUAAUGCCAGGACGCAUGACAUGGGCAGCCCUGGACUUUCUUACAUACCAUAUCAUAUCAUAUUGAGGGCUAGUGGGUCAUCCAAUAUCUAUCCACAACAACAACAAAUUAUGCAAUGCAUCAUAUUCGUGAAUUCUAAUGCCACAACCUAAUACAUAAACAUAGUAUCCAUGAUGCAUGAGCAUGCUUAAAAUUUUGAUUGCUUAAAAAAAGAAAGAGUUAUGUUCUACUCACCUCUGGCUGACUCUGGAACAGCUAACUCACUGUUGAUCACCUCGGUUCCUCAAGUCCGAUCCUACACAGGUGGACUCAAAUGAGGGACCAAACAUACUCUAACAUGACUCUAAACAUCUCCCCAAAAACCCCCUAAAACAUCAUAAAACAUGCACACAAAACAAGCAAAGGAAGGCUGAGCAGGGGACUUUCGACGGCAGGUUCGGCGGCCGAAGGUCCCUACAGAGCCGAAAGUCAGGCACUUUCGGGGGCAGGGUUCGGCGGCCGAAAGCCUUCACAGACUUGAAAGUCACCCACCUUCGGGGGCAGGUUCGGUGGCCGAAACUCCCCUCCAGAGUCGAAAGUCCAACUUUCAGGGGCGAGUUUAGGCGGCCAAAACUGCCUCCUCUGGCAGGUUCGGCGGCCAAACCUUGCUUCGGCGGCCGAACCUGGGUUCUCCAGGACGACAGAACCCGAUUUCGCCUCAUGUAUUCAGCCAUCCAAACCUCACCAACACCCAUCCAACUAUUCUAAAGCAUGCAUAAAUACAUAUUCAAGCUUAUAGGGGCUUAAAACUAGCCUAUACCCCCAACAAACAUCAACAUAGCAUCACAUUUAACAUUAAACUAACAUAAACCCUAACAUUUAGAUCUAAUCUAAACAUGCAUUAAACACCCUUAAAACCUCCUAAAACUUACUUAAAAUAUAAAAAGGUAUAGAUCUACACUUACCUCUUGAAGAUCGAGAUGAGAGGUGAUCCAAACUUGGAGAUUGGGAGAAAUCGAGCUCUGGGGGUCUCCAAGCUUCAAAACUUUGAUCGUAGCUUAAAAUCUUCAAAACAAAGGUAAAAACUCAUCAAGACUUGAAGGAAAUGAAGGAAAAUACAAAAUCAACCAAAGGAGGGCGAAAUCUCACCUAUGCCCGAAAAUAGAGAGAGAAAACUCAUCCAUUUUCGGAUAAGGGGCCUUUUAUAGGUGGCUGGCCAUACCACCUUCAGGGUCCAAAGGUGCUUCCACAAGAGCCCAAUGUUCGGCGGCCAAACAUGAGGUUCGGCGGCCGAACCUGAGGUUCGGCGGCCGAACCUGGCUUUUCCCUCCUUGGUCUUUUCUUUCAAAACUCAAUUUCUUUCUUCAUUAAAAUCAUAAAAAUAUAUAAAAACAUUUUAGAAAACCUUUAUUUUCCCCUUUUAGAAGGCUCCGACAUCCGAGAAUUUUGGAUUUCAAUGGAGAUUCCGCCAGAAGGUAGGAAUUCCGAUGCCGGGGUCUAGCCGGGUAUUUUAAACUCACUCCUGAAUCAGGCCCAGUUUCCUAUCAUCUUUCCUCACUCGAAAUGGCCGAAAACCCUACAGUUGCUGACAAUACCAUUACCAAUGAGGGGGUCAUCAUUUCCUCUAUCCCAAAUAACCGAGAGAACAUGCAUCUAGUGAUCAAUGAAGCAGACCUUAAUAAUUUGAAUAAUGAGCAAAUAAUCCAGUAUAUCUAAAGGUUGCAGGCCACUCUCGGGCAGUAUAAGACCCAAGAAGAGGCGUCUAAGAUGGACUCUGAAAGAAGAGAUGAGACUUUCGUAAACACCCCCAAAGCCAAGACAGAAGCACCUAAAAUGCGGCAUAAAGGUAAGUGUGAAUCUGAGGAUAAAUCAGAUGAGGUUUCAAAAGAAGUGAAUUGGAAGUUAGUACGAGCCAUACAAAGAUAUUAAAGAAAACAAGAAGAGGAUUAUAGUUUGGAUGGGGUCUCGCCUCUUUCGGAAAAAAUACUGGCGAAAACUUUUCCUGCUAAGUUCAAGUUGUCCUAUUUGGAUAAGUAUUAUGGGACGGAAGACCCUUGAAGCCAUCUAGCCAUUUUCAGGACGACCCUGGAGUUUCAAGAUUUAAAUAAUUUUGUGUUAUGCCGAAUGUUCGUGUCGACAUUCGCAGAUUUUUGAAACUUAUUAAUAAGUAUAAAAAUAAAAAAUUGAUUGAUCUCGCAAAGUGGCAAAAGAGGUGAGUGAAACUAUAGAUGAUGUGAACUUAUCAACCACUUAUGAAAUGAUCGUCAGAGAUCUAAUGAAGGAGUACAAGAGUUUCAAAGCUACCGUUCAAGCUACACCCAAAAGAAAUGGCAGUUUGGUGCAUUGGACCUUGUUAAUAUAAGAAGUUGAAUGAAAAUAUAUCAGAUCUCCAUACAUUAAUGGAAUUUCUUAUCCAUUGCAGUAAGGAUAUUUCUGCUCAUCUCGUGGAAUGCCGGAAGAAAUGAUCAUGGAAUAUGAUCAUCACAUAUUCAUAUCUAAGAAUCUCUUUGCUGUUUUUUCAGACAAUAAAUAAUCAAUUAGUAGCAUCUAUCGAUCUAGCUAAUUUUUUGAAAGUUUUCCAUCAAUUUUAAAUUUAUCAAUAUGUGUUGAUAAUUAAUUAUGAUACAUAAAAUCAGAGACCAUGAUUUUAUUCAUACAUAUUGUAAUAGACAUCAUAAUUUGGAGGCGGGAUUUAGAUUCUAUUUAUUUAUAAAAAAUAAAUUAUUGUCUUUAAAAAUAAUUUAAUAUUUUUAUCAGUAAAAUAAUUUUUAUCAAUCAUUUCUUUUGAGUAUUCUAUAAACAUAAAAAAAAAUUGAAAGAUAUUUUAGCCGCGUAAUUUCCUCUGUGAAAUUCAUUCAAGCUAGAAGUAGCAUAGCACUUUUAGAUUAUAAUAUAUAUUCACAUUUUCACUUAUUAAUUAUAUAUCUAUAUAAAUUAAAUAUGGGAUUUGCUAUAAUUUAAAAUAAUAUAUUAUUUAUUUAUGUAUCAUAUUUAUAUAUUAAAAUUUCUAUGGAAUUUUUCAUCAAAUAAUGCUCAACUCCUCUAUGUGUUAUGGCACCCUCUUCGAAUAGCUAGAAAUACCUAAUCUUAUUUAAAAAAUAAAUAUUUUAUUUAAACUUUAAUAUAAAUAUUUUAUUUAAUUAUUAAGAUUAACUCGCUUUCAUAUAUGAAUUUAAAUAAUUUAAUUAAAUUUUAACUAAAUUUUAAAAUAAAUUUAACAUUAAAAAUGAAAUAAAAUUAUCUUAUUAUUUCUAUUUGUGAUAAUUGUUUUAUCUCACUAAACUUAAAUAGAGUUAGAGAUGUAUCGUAUGAAAAAACUUGCUUAAACGUUGAGUUUCAAUUAGAUUUUUUUAAAUAAUUUUAUUUAGUUAAAGAACUCUAUUUAAUUACCAAUAAAAUAUAUGGAAGGAUUUGAGAUUUAGGUAAAGAAAUAUUAUAAUUCAAGAAUUAAACUAUUUGAUUUAUAAAUAAAAAAAAUAUUUUUAUUAAUUAAUUUAAGGACUGAAAAGUUACUUUAUUUAAACCAUACAAUAAAUAUUUGCCCAACUUUACAUAAUCUUAUCACAAAAAAAAAAAAAAAAAAUCAAUAAUUUUAAAACACUUUUUUACAAAUAUCGUAAGAGAUUAAAAGAAAUCUUAUCACUCAUUAUUAUUGCUCCUUUUCUUUAAAUUUUUAUUAUACUCAAAAUAUAAAGUAUAUUUAUAAAUUUUUUAUAAAUAAUUAUCAUAUAAUAAUAUCCAGAAAAAAAUAUCACAAAAAACAUUUCCCCCAAACAUUUGAAAAUACACUUUCACAAAUAUUGUCCCCGAUUAAGGAAUCCCUCUAUAUAUUUAAUUAUUUUUAUGAUUUAAUUAUUCAUAUAUUAACUUUAUUUUGAAUAUAUUUUUAUUUAUAUUUUUAUUGAAAUAUUGAAAUAUUGAAAUAUUUAUUGAUAACCUCCAGAUCUUUCCUAGCCCAGGAAUAAGGUCGGGUCCAAACGAAGGCCACAGGUCCAAAGCCCAUCAGAUCAUACGCUCGAGAGGCGGCUCGACUUCCGGCAACCCAGGAUGAUCCGGAUCAGAUAUGAGCACAAGCCCCAUAAGGGAGUAGGCUCACUCACUCACCAGCUCUACCCGCAUGCUCUCUGGAGAGCAUUAAAUGGCCGUUACGCAUGGAGCAGGUGCCUGACACGCCCGUACGUACGGGCCUGAGUGACAAGGACAGGAAGCACUAUAUAUCGGGGGGUCUUCUCUUGCAAGGGGGAUCAUCUUCUUUCUUUCCUCCUGCCUAGACUCCAUUUUUAUUUUCUCUCUGCAACUCUUACCUGGAUAUACUAUUCUUAUUCAUGAAACCUGACUUGAACGUCGGAGGGUCUCCGCCGGGGCAUCCCCGGUAGACCCCUGACUGUCUCCCAUUAUUUUGCCGGUCCUUUCAUCAAAUAGAACAUGGAGACCCAUUUGAUAGACCCAUCAGGGAGCCCAAAAAGGAAUCAGAUCCAGAUACCAGGGGACGAGGGAGAACCAGAUCUAUCAAAUAGAGAGCCCAGGGAGAGUCAGAGUUAUCAAAUGGCGCCAUCUAUGGGAACGAAGGAGAUCUUUUCGUCACCGGAGUUCCUAAAUCCACCCAUUGAGAUCCACAUGGAGGUAUGAAAGUUUAUACGAAAAGAAAGCUGGAGAUUUAUAAUAACCCAGCUGAAUAGCCUAGCUGAAAAGAAAGACCCAGCUGGUUCAAGAAUAUCUUGACAGUCUUUUAAUCUUCAUUUUCCUGCCCUCGUUGUUUAUUUUAACAUUUAUUAAAUUUUAUUACUACUAACUUUUUCUUUGAGAUCUGACGAGGUGAAACUUCAGAUCGAAAUGCUUGUUUAUGAAUAUAGAUUUUAAUUUUUUCUAUAAAAAGAAAAAAGAAUCAAUGAUAUAUAUAUUUUGUGAGUUGGCUGUGUAUAUAUUGCCGAGGAGAAGGGGCAGAUCGGCUGUAAAAUCCCAGUUUAGCAAGUUAGAAAGAAGAUUAAUAAAUAAAAAAUAGGCGAGGUAGGACUAACAUUUCAGGUCGGAUGGGCAUGAGGUCGGAAGGGACACGAUUCAGGGCCAUCCAACUUGGAUGCAGAGCAGCGCCCCUCAAGUAUCGGGCAAUCUGGAGACAAUCGAAAAUGAUCAAAUACCCAGGCAGGUCAAAGUGGAUAAGCUCGGACUCGGUAUGUCGUCCAGCUCGAAGACAAGGUGAACUGAGAUACCCAGGUCGGCAUGGUCGGCAUUAGUCCGUCUGACUGUCGAGAGAACGACAGACACGACAGACUGAUCAAGCACCACUAGUAGGACCGUUAAUAGUUUCGCUGGUCGGAGUAGCAGAACUGAAAAGAGCUCGAUUAAUCCAAUAAUCACAGUAUUGUGAGUGAAGGCACGUCGGCUUGAGAAGGAAUAACUGGUGGAAUUUCACUAAAAUCAAAAACAUCGUUAAGAUAUUACACGUUGAAGUCGGACCCGUGCGCGAAAUUAGAUCCGUACUCGAGAUCGUGCUCGAGAUCGGAGCCCUGUUUGAGGAAAAGAACAUAGUAAAAUUGCCUGGUUACAGAGGGGAAAGCGUGAGUGGAGAUGCUUUCAACAAGAAGUCAAGAAUUCUUAACCCGCACAGGAUGGUCAGGGCUCACGGCCAAUCAGCAACAACUUUUCUUUUUUCUUCUUUUUCAUCAUUGUUUGGAAAAUCUAUUGUUUGAAAGAGUGAAAAUUGGGAAUCUACCGCUUUGGGUUCACGAUGACAGUGACCUCAUGCCCAAUGAACGGCGUCGGGACGGCUGGCGCUGGAAGGUGACAAUCCAAUGUCGCGUCCAGUCAUUGGUAUCACCGGCGAAGCCCGAAGCCAUGCGUCGUAACAGCCGGGAAAGCUCGGUUGUCUCAAGGACGGGGGAAGACAACUACGGGAGAUCGCGAGGUCUCUUGCGAUGCCUUCGACUUCAUACGCGCCGGCAGCGGAAAGGAAAGCAGGCGAAGCGCAAAUGUUGCUCUGUCAUUGGCAAUCCGGGCUGGCGACAGCAGCGGGUCGGCUGUGCAGGCACUUGGGUGGAGAUCGGCAUCUGCUAAGGAAGAAGGAAAGAGAAGAGACACUUGAAAAAGUCAACAUGGGCAAUUGCUUUGGGUCUCCCUCUAGCUCCUCUUUCACCACCACCAAUCCUCUCACCCCAGGGUCAUCAAAUAACACCACUACCACCAGCAAUUUCUCAGCCUCAAGCAGCAGUGCAGGUAAGAGUCAAUUCUCUGCUGCGGUAAGUGAAGUGAAUGAUAAGCCAAAUCCAAACGGCCAAAUUUUGGAAGCACCAAACUUGAAGGAGUUCACCUUUGCUGAUUGGAUGAGUGCCACAAAGAAUUUCAAGCCAGACACUUUGUGGGGUCAAGGUGGUUUUGGUAAAGUUUACAAAGGAUGAAUAGAUGAAAAGACUUUUACACCCUCCAAAACUGGCAUUGGAAUGGUGGUUGCUAUCAAGAAAUUAAACUAAGAAAGUAUGCAAGGGCUUCAAGAGUGGCAGGUAAUGAUUUUUAAUUUCAGUUAUACUAUUAUCCUUAAAAAGAAAAAGGAAAAUAUUAAAAAUAACAAUUAAUUAUCCUGCUUAUAGAGAGACCGUCAUAAUUUGCCAUCUAGAAUAAUUUACAUUCAAUGUCAUUAUAAAUGAUUUUCUAAAACUAGCGUACCCACAAUUCACUCCUACUGCAAGCAAUUAAUUACUAUCAAUCAUUACAACUGGAUCAAAAUCGAGAGUUUUUUGCACUGCUUUCACUAUAUUUCUCGUUUUGCAGUUAUUAUUAAUUACAGAAUUAUAAAGUGUAAAUAAUACUUAUACUUUUCACAAUAUUUUACAUGUUCAAGCAUAGUAUUUUAUAAAUUGUUCAUCUGAAGUAUGAAACUAAGUAACAUGUGCGACAUAUUAUUUAUUGAUGAAUAUUAUUGAAUUAACAAUGAGUCUUCUCGUUAUAUACGUUCUGUGCAAGCUCUUAUUUUGCAGAAAAAUUCAGAAAAAAGAGUAAGGCCAAAAAGCCUUAAUCUUACGCAAGACCUCAGUGAGGUAGGUGGCUGGGCUCCCAAAAGGCCCCCGGCACCACAAAACCGGCUGAGAUGAUGAAGCGACAGUAAGGCCAAUGAGCCUGAAUCCCAUGCAAGGCUAAAGAGCCUGGAAGCGACAGUAAGGCCAAUGAGCCUGAAUCCCAUGCAAGGCUAAAGAGCCUGGAAGCUACAGUAAGGCCAAAGAGCCCGAAUCUUGUGAAAAACCUCAAGAAGGUAUAAGGCCGGCGGAUCUCAAAGAUCUCCCGGAGUAAAAACGGCCGGUGAGGAUCUUAAAAGACCUCCCGGAGCAUGAAGACCAGGAUCCCCUAGAACUCUCGGGAAAACAAAGAAGACCAGGAUCCCCUAGAACUCCCGGGUAAACAAAGAAGACCGGGAUCCCCUAGAACUCCCGGGAAAACAAAGAAGACCGGAAUCCCCAGAACUCCCGGGAAAACAAAACAAAGAUCACAGCGGAUUCAAUAGAAGACCUCAAUGAGGUCCUGGCAAAAGAAGACCUCACUGAGGUCCUGGCAAAAGAAGACCUCACUGAGGUCCUGGCAAAGAAGACCUCACUGAGGUCCUGGCAAAAGAAGACCUCACUGAGGUCCUGGCAUGAGAAGACCUCAAUGAGGUCCUGGCAAAGAAGACCUCAAUGAGGUCCUGGCAAAAGAAGACCUCACUGAGGUCCUGGCAAAAGAAGACCUCACUGAGAAGACCUCAAUGAGGUCCAGGCAAAAGAAGACCUCACUGAGAAGACCUUAAUGAGGUCCUGACAAAAGAAGACCUUAAUGAGGUCCUGGCAAAGAAGACCUCAAUGAGGUCCUGGCAAAAGAAGACCUCAAUGAGGUCCAGGCAAAAGAAGACCUCACUGAGAAGACCUCAAUGAGGUCCUGGCAAAAGAAGACCUCAAUGAGGUCCAUGCAAAAGAAGACCUCACUGAGAAGACCUCAAUGAGGUCCUAGCAAAAGAAGACCUCACUGAGGUCCUGGCAUGAGAAGACCUCAAUGAGGUCCUGGCAAAGAAGACCUCACUGAGAAGACCUCAAUAAGGUCCUAGCAAAGAAGACCUCAAUGAGGUCCUAGCAAAAGAAGACCUCAAUGAGGUCCAGGCAAAAGAAGACCUCACUAAGAAGACCUCAAUGAGGUCCUGGCAAAAGAAGACCUCACUGAGAAGACCUCAAUAAGGCAGAAGACCUCAGAAGACCUCACUGAGGCAGAAGACCUCACUGAGGCAGAAGACCUCAAUGAGGCAGCAGACCUCAGAANNNNNNNNNNNNNNNNNNNNNNNNNNNNNNNNNNNNNNNNNNNNNNNNNNNNNNNNNNNNNNNNNNNNNNNNNNNNNNNNNNNNNNNNNNNNNNNNNNNNNNNNNNNNNNNNNNNNNNNNNNNNNNNNNNNNNNNNNNNNNNNNNNNNNNNNNNNNNNNGUCCUGGCAAAAGAAGACCUCACUGAGGUCCUGGCAUGAGAAGACCUCAAUGAGGUCCUGGCAAAGAAGACCUCAAUGAGGUCCAGGCAAAAGAAGACCUCACUGAGAAGACCUCAAUGAGGUCCUGGCAAAAGAAGACCUCAAUAAGGUCCUGGCAAAAGAAGACCUCACUGAGGUCCUGGCAUGAGAAGACCUCAAUGAGGUCCUGGCAAAAGAAGACCUCACUGAGGUCCUGGCAUGAGAAGACCUCAAUGAGGUCCUAGCAAAGAAGACCUCAAUGAGGUCCAGGCAAAAGAAGACCUCACUGAGAAGACCUCAAUGAGGUCCUGGUAAAAGAAAACCUCACUGAGAAGACCUCAAUGAGGUCCUGGCAAAAGAAGACCUCAAUGAGGCAGAAGACCUCAGAAGACCUCACUGAGGCAGAAGACCUCACUGAGGCAGAAGACCUCACUGAGGCAGAAGACCUCACUGAGGCAGAAGAUCUCACUGAGGCAGAAGACCUCAAUGAGGCAGAAGACCUCACUGAGGCAGAAGACCUCAAUGAGGCAGAAGACCUCAGAAGACCUCACUGAGGCAGAAGACCUCACUGAGGCAGAAGACCUCACUGAGGCAGAAGACCUCAAUGAGGCAGAAGACCUCAAUGAGGCAGAAGACCUCACUGAGGUAGAAGACCUCAGAAGACCUCAAUGGGGCAGAAGACCUCACUAAGGCAGAAGACCUCACUGAGGCAGAAGACCUCACUGAGAGGUAGAAGACCUCACUGAGGUAGAAGACCGCACUGAGGUAGAAGACCGGCGAAGAUCUCAAAGAUCUCCCGGAGCAAAAAUGGCCGGAAUCCCCAAGAUCAUCCGGUGCUACAAGCAAAAACAACUCAUAAGAACAUAGUUCUGAUCUCACAUAAAAGAUUGGGGCACGGGACCAUAAAUGAAAAGCUAAACUCCGACCUCCCAAAGGAGCUCGAGUCAUCAGGUAGAGAGACUUUAAUCUCACAUAACAGCCAAAAGUGUCAAAACACCAUGACGAUCUCAAGAAAAUGAGCUAGGUACUGGUAAACACAAUAGGCAGCCCGAAUAUGGCUCAACAAGAGAGUAAGAAAUUAAGUUCGACUUCACAAAAGAGCUCGGGGCACCAAAGUAAAGAAAGUGAAAUUCCAAACUUCAGAGCUCGCGAUAUAGACACCAUCACAGGCUAUAGGCACAAAAGCCUAAGCGAAAAGCAAAGAACCGAGCUCCCAGCUCAGAUGAACUCGCAACAGGAAAACACUCAAGUAGAAUAAAGCUAAAUACAGAAGAAAUAACAGAGAACCGAGCUCCCUCUACGAAAAGGCCCCCAAAUGCAGGAACGCAUAAAAGGAUAAACGAAGGCGAAGGACCAUGCUCACAUCUCGGAUUAACUCACAAUAAAUAGACAUUCAGCAAGAAUAACCCAGGAAGAGGAAAACAACAAAAGAAUGAGUACUCUAUCCCAGUGGAGCUCACAACUCAAACCACACCGACUACCAGAAAGUUAUCUCAAGAGGAACAAGGUAUUAUAUUCCUGAGCUCGCAACAAUGACGAGAUCGUGAGCCAAAAACAGAAAUGCCCUCAUGAGAAUAAGAAAAACUCGCAAGUCAGAAGCUUAACCAGACUCCGAACUCUUAGCCCGGAUCGGUUCGACCAGUAAAGACCCAGUAGAGCCGGCAUGGUCAUUAGUGGAGCCUAAGUAUUUACCCCCUCACCAGUCAUGGAAUAACUGCUGAGGAGGUAAAGGGGCAAUUGAUAACCUCCAUAUCUUUCCUAGCCCAGGAAUAAGGUCGGGUCCAAAAGAAGGCCACAGGUCCAAAGCCCAUCAGAUCAUACGCUCGAAAGGCGGCUCGACUUCACGAGCCUGGGCCGGCAACCCAGGAUGAUCCGGAUCAGAUAUGAGCACAAGCCCCAUAAGGGAGUAGGCCCACUCACUCAUCAGCUCUACCCGCAUGCUCUCUGGAGAGCAUUAAAUGGCCGUUACGCAUGGAGCAGGUGCCUGACACGCCCGUACGUACGGGCCUGAGUGACAAGGAUAGGAAGCACUAUAUAUCGGGGGGUCUUCUCUUGCAAGGGGGAUCAUCUUCUUUCUUUCCUCCUGCCUGGACUCCAUUUUUAUUUUCUCUCUGCAACUCUUGCCUGGAUAUACUAUUCUUAUUCAUGAAACCUGACUUGAACGUCGGAGGGUCUCCGCCGGGGCAUCCCCGGUAGACCCCUGACUGUCUCCCCUUAUUUUGCAGGUCCUUUCAUCAAAUAGAACAUGGAGACCCAUUUGAUAGACCCAUCAGGGAGCCCAAAAAGGAAUCAGAUCCNNNNNNNNNNNNNNNNNNNNNNNNNNNNNNNNNNNNNNNNNNNNNNNNNNNNNNNNNNNNNNNNNNNNNNNNNNNNNNNNNNNNNNNNNNNNNNNNNNNNNNNNNNNNNNNNNNNNNNNNNNNNNNNNNNNNNNNNNNNNNNNNNNNNNNNNNNNNNNNNNNNNNNNNNNNNNNNNNNNNNNNNNNNNNNNNNNNNNNNNNNNNNNNNNNNNNNNNNNNNNNNNNNNNNNNNNNNNNNNNNNNNNNNNNNNNNNNNNNNNNNNNNNNNNNNNNNNNNNNNNNNNNNNNNNNNNNNNNNNNNNNNNNNNNNNNNNNNNNNNNNNNNNNNNNNNNNNNNNNNNNNNNNNNNNNNNNNNNNNNNNNNNNNNNNNNNNNNNNNNNNNNNNNNNNNNNNNNNNNNNNNNNNNNNNNNNNNNNNNNNNNNNNNNNNNNNNNNNNNNNNNNNNNNNNNNNNNNNNNNNNNNNNNNNNNNNNNNNNNNNNNNNNNNNNNNNNNNNNNNNNNCAAAGGAAUCCCUCUAUAUAUUUAAUUAUUUUUAUGAUUUAAUUAUUCAUAUAUUAAAUUUAUUUUGAAUAUAUUUUUAUUUAUAUUUUUAUUGAAAUAUUGAAAUAUUUAUAAUUUCAAAUUAGUUUAUAAGUAUUUAUAUUAUCAUUUUAAUUUAUUUUCUAUUAUUUAACUAUUUAAAUUAUUAAACUUACAUAAAUUAUUAUCAUUCUCUUUUUUAAAUAAUUUUAAAAUUAAUUUUUCAUUGCAAAUGAAAUUUAAUUUAUUAUUUAAUGAAAUGUCAACUAUAUUACAUCUUAUUUUUCCUCUAUCUUCUUGCCUUUUCCUUAACCAAUAUUUUAGGAUACAUUACCUUAAUAAUAAUAAUAAUAAUUUUAAUGAAAGAAAAUUAUUUAAGGCAUUUGCAAUAUUUUUCAUCCCAUAAUACACAUUCUAAUUGAAAUCACUCAAAAUAGUCACAGCUUAAUAAUUGAGUAGGAAAAUAUCUCAAAUGACAAUUAGGCUCAUGCCACUUCUAUAUAUAGAAAGCAAUGCCAAAGGACUUCAUGCAUCAUUAGAUUCAUCAGUGAUCAUAAGCAUCACCAGAAACUCACUCUGUAUCUUUCUUUUUUCAAAAACUAAAAAUGACACUAUGGGGCAAAUUAGAGAUACAUUUUUGGAUUGAUGCGCAGAUCAGUUUCAUGAUGUCUUCAGUUCCCGACCAUACCUUAUACCCAAUAUGUCCCCUCACAAAAUUCUUGGUGUUGAUCUUCUUGAAGGUGAAUGGGGUAAGGAAGGCUCUAUUAUCUGCUGAAAAUAUUUCUAUGGUAAGCGUUUAAUCUUUUUCAAUUGUAAUUUUCUUUUUUUAAAAAAAAAUUAUUAAUCAAGUAUAAAAAUGAAAAACAGAUGGGUCUGUUACCGUGGCUAAGGAUCUAAUUGAAACCAUAGAUAAUGUGCAUUUGUUAACCGUCUUCAAAGUGAUCGAAGGAGAUGUUUUAAAGGAAUAUAAGAGUUUCAAGUUGACCGUUCAAGCUACACCUAAAGGAGAGGGCAGUGUGGUACGUUGGACCUUAGAAUAUGAGAAGAUCCAUGAGAAUAUACGAGAUCCUUACUCCUUGCUAGAGUUUAUUGUCCAAUUUAGUAAGGAUGUUUCUGCUCAUCUCGUGAAAUAUCCGAAGAAAUGAUCAUGAACAUGUUAUGCUUUAAUAUGUGAUUUGCAUAAUAAUUAAAUAAGUGCUCUAUAAUGAAGCACCAAUAAGACACUUAUUUGUGUAUGAACUUAUAUCUACAAUGUAUUACAUCUUAAAACUAUGUUUGUGUUUUUUUUUUAAUGAUUACGCUUCCUUUAUUA
rnacentral:lncRNA from 1 species